UGAGCUGUUUUAGCGGCGGACGGGUGAGUAACGCGUGAGCAACCUUUCCCAGACAGGGGAAUAACACACCGAAAGGUGUACUAAUACCGCAUAAGACCACGGGAUCACAUGGUUCUGAGGUAAAAGAUUUAUCGGUUUGGGGUGGGCUCGCGUCCGAUUAGGUAGUUGGUGAGGUAACGGCCCACCAAGCCGACGAUCGGUAGCCGGACUGAGAGGUUGAACGGCCACAUUGGGACUGAGACACGGCCCAG
rnacentral:rRNA from 1 species